AAGACUAUACUUUCAGGGAUCAUUUCUAUAGUUUGUGACUUGAGAAAUGUGUUUUUAAAGUGCAUGGUCUCGCUGCCCACAAUGAAGAGUUUGUGAUGCUCCUUCUUGAACAUUAACUCUGCAGUGUCUCUGCAGUUGCUCUAGUGUGACAGGAAUGUGCCUCUGUGUUCUGGU
rnacentral:snoRNA from 1 species